GGAGAGAUGACUGAGAGGCCGAAAGUGGCAGAUUGCUAAUCUGUUGUACUCGCAAGGGUACCGAGGGUUCGAAUCCCUCUCUCUCCGCCA
rnacentral:tRNA from 1 species